UAUAUUCAUUCAUUUUCCAAAAAUUAAAAAAAACUCAGCUCUUACUAGCUUCCUAGCAGAGAGAACAAGAGAAAAAGGAUGAGCUGUGGAGAAAGCAAGGUUGUGUGUGUGACAGGAGCAUCUGGUUUCAUAGCGUCAUGGCUGGUGAAGAUUUUAUUGCAAAGAGGUUUUACUGUCAAAGCCACUGUUCAAGACCCAAAUGAUCAAAAGAAAAUAGAUCACCUACUCUCACUUGAUGGAGCAAAGGAAAGGCUUCAUUUGUUCAAAGCAAACUUGUUAGAAGAAGGUUCUUUUGACCCUGUCGUUGAUGAGUGUGAAGGUGUUUUUCAUACAGCAUCUCUUGUCAUACUCUCAUCUACUAAUUUGCAGGUUCAUCUCUUUAUUUACAUACAAAACGUUUAUAAAUUUUUCUUUGUAGCAUCGUAAGCCAACAGUUUAUGAAAUUCAGUUCUAUCUGAUACUCUGCCAAGAGUUAUUGAUGUAGUUUGAUUUUACCUGCAAAAUCUAUAUCAAUAUGCGCUAUAAUGUUGCUAGCUCUUAAUCGUUGUCAGGCAGAAUUAAUUGACCCUGCUUUGAAGGGAACGCUUAAUGUCCUUGGAUCGUGUGUGAAGGUUCAGUCUAUCAAAAGGGUGGUUAUAACAUCCUCUAUAGCAGCAGUUGCAUUUAAUGGAAAACCUCUUACUGCUGAUGUAAUAAUCGAUGAAUCUUGGUUUUCAGAUCUUGCUUUUUGUGAAAAAGUGAAGCUUUGGUAUACCCUUUCAAAGACAUUAGCUGAGGAAGCUGCUUGGAAGUUUGCAAAA